UCGUCAUGAUGAUGAUGAUGAUGAUGAUGAUGAUGAUUAUCAUUUCAUCAUCAUCAUCAUCAUCAUCAUCAUUUUCG
rnacentral:pre_miRNA from 1 species